rnacentral:rRNA from 1 species
GUGGGGAAUCUUGCGCAAUGGGCGAAAGCCUGACGCAGCCAUGCCGCGUGAAUGAUGAAGGUCUUAGGAUUGUAAAAUUCUUUCACCGGGGACGAUAAUGACGGUACCCGGAGAAGAAGCUCCGGCUAACUUCGUGCCAGCAGCCGCGGUAAUACGAAGGGGGCUAGCGUUGCUCGGAAUUACUGGGCGUAAAGGGCGCGUAGGCGGACAGCUUAGUCAGAGGUGAAAGCCCAGGGCUCAACCUUGGAAUUGCCUUUGAUACUGGCUGUCUUGAGUUUGGGAGAGGUGGGUGGAACUCCGAGUGUAGAGGUGAAAUUCGUAGAUAUUCGGAAGAACACCAGUGGCGAAGGCGACUCACUGGCCCAAUACUGACGCUGAGGCGCGAAAGCGUGGGGAGCAAACAGGAUUAGAUACCCCGGUAGUCC